rnacentral:tRNA from 1 species
GUGCCCGUAGCUCAGCUGGAUCAGAGCAUCAGCCUUCUAAGCUGACGGUCGGUGGUUCAAGUCCACUCGGGCACGCCA